CAUAGCAAAAGUCCUAAACAUAGUUCAUGGAGAGUAAAAACAACUGAUCUGCUCCUUGAUAGAGGCCUGAAUCCAAAGAAUUCUGAUCCUGGUUUUGCUGAGCUUGAUGAAAAAGACAACACCCAAAUUAAUUGAACUAUCCCAAGGGAGUCAUGAUGCUGCUUGUUCAUCCAAGAUUGCAGUUGGAGUUUGACAAAGUGUUGAAGACUGAUUAAAGUAUCAUUUGUAUGCACUAAUACCUAUACUUGAAGGCCAAUCUCAUUUUCUUGCAUAAAGAAGCAUAUUAUUGAUGUCUUGGAUAAAUCUCAUCUGACUGCACUCGUCCAAUGAUUGCAACAACAAGAGUUGAUUGCCCAUUUUUUCCACAUUGCUUAUGAGCUUUGAAACCAAGUACUCCUCAGAAAGUAUGUCCAAGUCCUGAUUUAAGUUGGCAAUUGCAGGUUGACUAGCUUAUAGUAUUAACAGAAAAUUCCAUGCCAUGGGGAUGGGAUGCAAAGUACUACUCAAAAUAUCCAUCAAAACACAACUUCAGCGUAAUUGCCACAACUUCUUGAACAGCCCCAGGGCUCUCUUCUCAGCACAAGCCACUUGUAGGAGCACUGACAGCAACAGUGUCAGGAAUUAAACUUACUAGUUUCAUCCAUUUGACAAUGCAAACAAUAACCAUCCAUCAAUGGAUUUUUAUAUAGAAUAAAUGUAGAACUUUUUUAAACCGUUCCUUCCUUACGAAGUGUCAUCACCAUUUCUUUGAAGAAAACUGAAGCUUACUUGGAUUGGCCUGAGCUAUGUAGACCAUGAAUCAAGGAGCUGUAAGUGGCUUCAUUCCAUGGUAAAAAAUAAAAAAAAGCUGCAAGUGGUAACAUGAGGUGAAAUUCCACCACACUAGGCACAACCCCUCUUGAAUAAGCCUUUUAGCAAACCAUUAGCUGCACUAGUUUCUCUAAUUUUACAUACACAAUUGACGAUUUCAGUAAAUGUAUAGGCAUGAGGUUGGUACUCUCUGGCCAUUGGCAAUCUCAGUAAGUUACCGAGAACAAUUCACCAAUGGCGUCAUUUGACUUGAAAAGUUGAUUCAUGAGGAAGGCAUCCUUGGC